AGUGAACGCUGGCGGUAGGCCUAACACAUGCAAGUCGAACGGCAGCACAGUAAGAGCUUGCUCUUACGGGUGGCGAGUGGCGGACGGGUGAGGAAUACAUCGGAAUCUACUUUUUCGUGGGGGAUAACGUAGGGAAACUUACGCUAAUACCGCAUACGACCUACGGGUGAAAGCAGGGGAUCUUCGGACCUUGCGCGAUUGAAUGAGCCGAUGUCGGAUUAGCUAGUUGGCGGGGUAAAGGCCCACCAAGGCGGCGAUCCGUAGCUGGUCUGAGAGGAUGAUCAGCCACACGAGAACUGAGACACGGACCAGACGCCUACGGGAGGCAGCAGUGGGGAAUAUUGGACAAUGGGGGCAAGCCUGAUCCAGCCAUACCGCGUGGGUGAAGAAGGCCUUCGGGUUGUAAAGCCCUUUUGUUGGGAAAGAAAAGCAGCAGGUUAAUACCCCGCUGUUCUGACGGUACCCAAAGAAUAAGCACCGGCUAACUUCGUG
rnacentral:rRNA from 1 species